rnacentral:rRNA from 1 species
UGGGGAAUUUUGGACAAUGGGCGAAAGCCUGAUCCAGCCAUGCCGCGUGAGUGAAGAAGGCCCUCGGGUUGUAAAGCUCUUUUGUCCGGAAAGAAAAGCAUUCGGUGAAUACCCGGAUGUUCUGACGGUACCGGAAGAAUAAGCACCGGCUAACUUCGUGCCAGCAGCCGCGGUAAUACGAAGGGUGCAAGCGUUACUCGGAAUUACUGGGCGUAAAGCGUGCGUAGGUGGUGGUUUAAGUCUGAUGUGAAAGCCCUGGGCUCAACCUGGGAAUGGCAUUCGAAACUGGGCAGCUAGAGUGCGGUAGAGGGUAGUGGAAUUCCCGGUGUAGCAGUGAAAUGCGUAGAGAUCGGGAGGAACAUCUGUGGCGAAGGCGACUGCCUGGACCAGCACUGACACUGAGGCACGAAAGCGUGGGGAGCAAAC